AUUCUGAGCACGACUAAUUAACGGAACUGCAGACCACGGAAAUGCGGGACCUAAUAAUAUCGCCUUCUUAUUGUAUAAACAUUGGUGAUAGGUCCCAGUGGCGUAGCCACGAUUUCCGGCCAAGGGGGGCCAAAAAAUCAGGGGGAGCCACUUCAAACAAGACGAAAACUGAAAAGAAGGAAACAAAGUACGUACACAUAGGCGCACCCAAUUAGUUUUGUCUAAUUGUAAAACUGCAAAUACAACAAACGUUAAAUUGAAUGAAAGGUAUAACAACGGUAUAUAAGGAAUAAAAUAUUCACAAUCAGCCACUCAGCGACACAUUAACCAGUACGGCAGUACCGUAAGAAGCUCUUUUGGAUUGGGCAUGGCCAUGGGUAAUAGCUAAUUCUUUGCAGUUUGUCAUGGAUAAUGUAGCCGCUUAAAAUUAAUCAAUUGUCAGUAUUUUAAAAGAAUAUUAUUUAAAUGAUAAAGAUCUAUAUGAUUUUGAAAAAAGAAUUAUUAUUAUUAGCGGCAAAUAAUUGGGGGAGGGGGCUGCAAGGUCACAAGCGCAACCAAACGAAAAAUUGCUAGUAUCAUAUAUGGAGGGCCCUGAAGGGGUAAAAUGGGAACUGGGAUUGAUCUAAUUUUAGACUGGGAAAAUGGGAUUUGGGUUGCUGGGACUGGGAUUUGGCCACUGGGAAUGGGAAAUGAAGUCCUCAAAAAUGGGAAUGGGAUUGAGGUAAUGCGAGUCGAUUCCCAAUUUUUCUACAUUUUAAG